rnacentral:rRNA from 1 species
UACGGGGGGGGCAAGCGUUGUUCGGAAUUACUGGGCGUAAAGGGCUCGUAGGCGGCCAACUAAGUCAGACGUGAAAUCCCUGGGCUUAACCGGGGAACUGCGUCUGAUACUGGAUGGCUAGAGUGUGGGAGAGGGAUGCGGAAUUCCAGGUGUAGCGGUGAAAUGCGUAGAUAUCUGGAGGAACACCGGUGGCGAAGGCGGCAUCCUGGACCACGACUGACGCUGAGUGAGCGAAAGCCAGGGGAGCAAACGGG